GCCAAUCAUAUCAGACCUGAGGGCGGGACUCUGUUUAUGCACGGCGAGGUAGUCGGUAGCCGAGCUGAGGACAGGAUUUAGGCUAAAAGCCCUAAACGAAACUUCCUCGACCUGUAGAUGGAAAUGAAGAGGCAGCAGCUCCGUCGGAGGCCAGUCCGAUGAGAUGUUUACCAGGGAGAGAGGGAGAAGCUGAAGGAGGCUGACAGGACUGAAGGAGCAGGUCUGGUGGAGGAAAUGACUGAUGUACCUCAAGGAGGACGACUGAUUCCACAACGCUGGCUCUGUGUAUCCAAGCGGUGAUGCAUUGCCUGGGAUUCGAGGCCAACAUUUGUAUGGAUCAGUAUCACAGUGCAACUGAACUGGAGUAAACAGUGAUGGAGUAAAGUGCUGAACUGAAGUCAUUCAUCAUCUCCACCCUGAUAACACAGACUGCACUGGGCUGUAGACACCGUUUCCCCUCAAAUGAAGGGCAUUAAUGGGGAGUUUCUCCCUCUGCUGCAGUAACAGCCUCUGCUCUUACACUGCACUCUUCAAAAACACGGUUCUUCACUAAAGGCAGUGGUUCCACUUAGAACCACGAGCUAUAUAUAGAACCACUUCAAAUGUUUAUUUAGCAACAAAUAUAGUUCAUCUAGGGUUACAAGCUUGACAUCAUAAGAGCAGAACCCUUCUGGUGCUAUGUAGAACCGUGUACAACUCUGUCUCCAUCAGUCGAAGACCCAUUAGCUCAUGCGAAAAAACAUUUUAAGCGUGAAAAUUUCUACAUGGAACUUAUGGUUCUUCGCAUCUUUGAAGAACCAUAUAGUAGAUGUUAAAUCUCCAGACUGAUCGGUGAGUUAUAUAUGGUUCUAUAUUGAGUUCUACUGUUACAAGCUCGACAUUGUAACUAUAGCAGAACUC